rnacentral:lncRNA from 1 species
GAGAAUUUUACGAAUUCGACGAUAAUCGUCCAAUCGUGUGAAUUUCAAAAAAACUACAUUCUUAAUGAUUCUAAAUGGAUUUUAAUCAACAAAGGAUCAUUACAAGUUACUUAUUAAACCAACUUAUAGACAAAGUAGGUUUUGACUUAUUCUCAUAAGUCAAUGACUUAUUUAACUUAUGAACUAUAAUUCCUCAUGCUUAUGACUUUCUAUGAACUUAAGUCCACCAAUCAAUGUUCUCAUACUAUAAUCAACAUGAUGUUAGAAUGUUGUAGUAUUUGAGCUACCUGAGGGAAUUAUAGUGUUUAAAUUUUCAAGACGAAAAUAAAAGUUUUCCGAGAAAUUAUUUGAAAAAUACUAUUCAUCGGUAUUUGCUCGGGAAUUAUUUUUGAAUUUUUGAGAAAUACGUAAUGAUAGAAUGUCAAGGUAAGACGAAUUAUGUAAUAAUAAUCUAAGUAUGGAUAACGAAAUAUUUCACUUGUGGACUUAAAUUGAGGAUGUUAAGGAAAGUGAUUUAUUAAUAAGUUAAGUAAUAAUCGUAUGAUACGUGAGUAUUGUACGACGUAAUGAAUACGAGUAUAAUACAAUGUAUUAUAUGAAUUUGUAUGAAGGACGGUAUAUCAUAUAUAACGAAGUUGUAUAUGAAUUAGAAUACGAGAAUGAUAAGUCAACAAUACGUAUAUGUAUUGAGCAAUGAUAUUGGAUUUGUAAGAUUGGUUAGGAAUUUAUUCAAACCCAAGUGAAUAAAUUAUAAGGCCCAAAUGUUAAUUAAUGAACAAGUUAAUGUUUAUUAAUGCAAGCCCAAAGGUUAAGUUAAUCUAAGCCCAAGCUAGGAUCCAUGAGUUGAUUGACCCAUGGAGCAAACCAUGUUAAUGUGGUUAAUCUUGAUAAUCAAGUAUUAGGUGUGAUGACCAAGUAUUAUGUGUGAUGACCAAGACUUAGAUGUAAUGAUCAAGCAAGAGAUAAGUGUUGUGCUAAUCAAGUAAUUAAUAGUAAGGAGGUGGCUUAAGGAGGUGGGUUGGUAUAUUGACCAAACUACCAUAACUUUGGGAAUUCUAUAAAUAGAAGGAGAAUGUUAGUCAUUUGCUAAUUGUUCAAAUCAUCCAACAAACUUAUAAAGUGCUCAAGUGUUAGAGAGAAUAAGUUACUUCCAUUUGUAAGAAGAAGAAGAAGACUUUUUACAAGAACUUCAAAGGGUAAGACUUCUUCUCCAUUUAUCUUCUAUCUCUACCAUGAUAGGUUGAUAAGAAAAGUAUGGAUUAAGGAACAUGGAUGUUAAGAAAUAAGAAGAAUUAUUAAUCAAUGGAUUUAAGCCGCAUAAGUCAGAAAUAAGUCAUUUAAGCUAGCAUAAGUUAUUAACUUAUGAAGAAGUAAUAUGAACUUGUUAUGAGUUUAUCUUAAGAAGUAGUAUGUAAGUAAAGAAUUUGUCUCAUGUAUACAUGAAUGAAACUAUGUAUUGAGAACAUAUAAAGGUGAUGAUUAAUAGAUUUUAAUUAUCAUAAG